rnacentral:rRNA from 1 species
CUACGGGUUGCAGCAGUGGGGAAUAUUGCACAAUGGGGGAAACCCUGAUGCAGCAACGCCGCGUGAAGGAUGAAGGUUUUCGGAUCGUAAACUUCUUUGAUGAGGGAAGAAAAAUGACGGUACCUCAAAAACAAGCCACGGCUAACUACGUGCCAGCAGCCGCGGUAAUACGUAGGUGGCGAGCGUUGUCCGGAAUUACUGGGUGUAAAGGGCGUGUAGGCGGGAAUGUAAGUCAGAUGUGAAAUUCCGAGGCUCAACCUCGGAGCUGCAUCUGAAACUAUAUUUCUUGAGUGCUGGAGAGGAAAGCGGAAUUCCUAGUGUAGCUGUGAAAUGCGUAGAUAUUAGGAGGAACACCAGUGGCGAAGGCGGCUUUCUGGACAGUAACUGACGCUGAGGUGUGAAAGCGUGGGGAGCAAACAGGAUUAGAUACCCUAGUAGUC